AUGUCUCUAAGAUUGUCUCCUGGUUUGGGAGAGUGGAUACUGUUUGGGACCACUGCAAGUCACUCCAGGCCAAAGCUGUCGGUGCCACAGGAUCCAGGGGUUGUCGUCUUCUCACCAAGGCUGCUGAGGAUAGACGCUCUGCACUGCACCCUCCACUUGCUUCUAGCAGGGCAUGAUUUUGUGCAGCCAGGUUUGGGUGGAGGACUCUGAGGAAGGCUGGCUAUUUAGAGGGAUUAGAGGUUUUCAAGAAUCUAGACUACAGAAGUAAAAGAGUAAGUGAAUUUGUUUUCUUUGCUUAUUUAAAUUGCCCACGGGGAAAAUCUUCAGCUUCAACCCACGUGAUCCAUUUUCUUGACAUCGAGGUCAGUUUUCUGAUUUCAUCAUCCCUUUAAGAUGACUGCAGAGUGAAAGGUAAGUAGAAAAAAGGUGAGCUGUUCUGUAAAUUCCUUUCUUAUGCGCAGGUACUGGCUGCAUCUCUUCUAAACUCCUUUGGUAUGUCUUCAGAACCAACUUUUAAAGUUUAAUUGGUGUAGCUGUUUGGAUUUUAAACCUGAAGCGUGUGUGUAGGGGUGGAUAAUUUAAAAACAACAGUUGCUGAGUACCAGGCUGCAGAACCCUCCAAGAUGAGAUGGAAAAGACCCCUUGUUCUGGUGCCCAUCUCUAUCAGUGGAGAAACCUUCCCCAAACCAUCACCUCAGCAGUUGUGUCCUUAAAACAUGGUGCAUUAUUUAAGGGAUCGUGUAGUCUGCAUAUGCCCUGAAAGCAGAGGAAAGGGUAAAGAGAGCAUCUAAUGACAUGUUUUUUACAGCACAAAUAUAGCCUGGUGACAAUGCCUGCUCCUUCUCCCGAAAGGGCAAAAGGAAUGGCAGGCUUGUAUUGAAGGAAUCGUGUCAGCUGCAGCCUGAAUUGCGCUGAGCAAUGUUUUUUUCAGCUCAUUUCUGUGCUUGUAUUUGAAAUAUUUGCUUUUCUGCUGGUUUUGCCUAUGGGAUUCUUUCUUUUUGUGGUACUGGAGCUUUUAUUCUUCUUGUAGUAUAAGCAAUUAGCUGUAGGAAUGUACAACCCAUCACAGCUUUAGUUUUUAAAGUAUGAAUGACGCGCAUCGUGCCAAAAGCUGUUUUUCUUCCUGCUUUCAGUAAAGAGCAUAACUCAAUAUAUGUAUCCUGAUUUCACAUUCAGCAUUGUGGUGUCCUGAUUUUAUUUUUUAAUGUGG
rnacentral:lncRNA from 1 species